UACGUAGGGUGCAAGCGUUGUCCGGAAUUAUUGGGCGUAAAGAGCUCGUAGGCGGUUUGUUGCGUCGGGUGUGAAAUCCCGAGGCUCAACCUCGGGUCUGCAGUCGAUACGAGCAAACUAGAGUGUUGCAGGGGAGACUGGAAUUCCUGGUGUAGCGGUGAAAUGCGCAGAUAUCAGGAGGAACACCGGUGGCGAAGGCGGGUCUCUGGGCAUUAACUGACGCUGAGGAGCGAAAGCAUGGGGAGCGAACAGG
rnacentral:rRNA from 1 species